rnacentral:rRNA from 1 species
UACGUAGGGACCGAGCGUUGUCCGGAAUCAUUGGGCGUAAAGAGCGUGUAGGCGGCCUGUUAAGUCUUGCGUGAAAUCUCGGGGCUCAACCCCGAGCGGUCGUGAGAAACUGGCGGGCUAGAGUGCGGGAGAGGAGAGUGGAAUUCCUGGUGUAGCGGUGAAAUGCGCAGAUAUCAGGAAGAACACCCGUGGCGAAGGCGGCUCUCUGGAACGCAACUGACGCUGAGACGCGAAAGCGUGGGGAGCAAACAGG